GCGACCAUCGUAUAACGGUUAUUACUUCGGAUUGUGGUUCCGAAAAUUCGGGUUCGAUUCCCGGUGGCCGCCCUA
rnacentral:tRNA from 2 species